UGCAGUCGAACGGCAGCAUGAUCUAGCUUGCUAGAUUGAUGGCGAGUGGCGAACGGGUGAGUAAUACAUCGGAACGUGCCCUGUAGUGGGGGAUAACUAGUCGAAAGAUUAGCUAAUACCGCAUACGACCUGAGGGUGAAAGUGGGGGACCGCAAGGCCUCAUGCUAUAGGAGCGGCCGAUGUCUGAUUAGCUAGUUGGUGAGGUAAAGGCUCACCAAGGCGACGAUCAGUAGCUGGUCUGAGAGGACGAUCAGCCACACUGGGACUGAGACACGGCCCAGACUCCUACGGGAGGCAGCAGUGGGGAAUUUUGGACAAUGGGGGCAACCCUGAUCCAGCAAUGCCGCGUGUGUGAAGAAGGCCUUCGGGUUGUAAAGCACUUUUGUCCGGAAAGAAAUCGCACUUACUAAUAUUAGGUGUGGAUGACGGUACCGGAAGAAUAAGGACCGGCUAACUACGUGCCAGCAGCCGCGGUAAUACGUAGGGUCCAAGCGUUAAUCGGAAUUACUGGGCGUAAAGCGUGCGCAGGCGGUUGUGCAAGACCGAUGUGAAAUCCCCGGGCUUAACCUGGGAAUUGCAUUGGUGACUGCACGGCUAGAGUGUGUCAGAGGGGGGUAGAAUUCCACGUGUAC
rnacentral:rRNA from 1 species